rnacentral:rRNA from 1 species
CGGCAGGCUUAACACAUGCAAGUCGAGGGGCAGCACGGGUAGCAAUACCUGGUGGCGACCGGCGCAAGGGUGCGUAACGCGUGAGCAACAUGCCCUAUACAGGGGGAUAAUCCAGGGAAACUUGGUCUAAUAUCCCAUAGUAUUUAGAGGAGGCAUCUUCUAUAAAUUAAAGCUUCGGUGGUAUAGGAUUGGCUCGCGCGACAUUAGCUAGAUGGUGAGGUAACGGCUCACCAUGGCAAUGAUGUCUAGGGGUUCUGAGAGGAAGGCCCCCCACACUGGGACUGAGACACGGCCCAGACUCCUACGGGAGGCAGCAGUGAGGAAUAUUGGACAAUGGAUGGAAAUCUGAUCCAGCCAUGCCGCGUGCAGGAAGACAGCCCUAUGGGUUGUAAACUGCUUUUAUAUGGGAGCAAUAAGGUCUACGUGUAGACUGAUGAGAGUACCAUAUGAAUAAGCAUCGGCUAACUCCGUG